AGUUACUGCUAUCGAGGUUCGACUAAGCCAUGCGAGUCGAAUGUAGCAAUACAUGGCGUACUGCUCAGUAACACGUGGACAACCUACCCUUAGGACGGGGAUAAACCCGGGAAACUGGGUAUAAUACCCGAUAGUUCUCGGCUACUGGAAUGCAUCGAGAUUAAAAGCUCCGGCGCCUAAGGAUGGGUCUGCGGCCUAUCAGGUAGUAGUGGGUGUAGCGUACCUACUAGCCUACGACGGGUACGGGUUGUGAGAGCAAGAGCCCGGAGAUGGAUUCUGAGACACGAAUCCAGGCCCUACGGGGUGCAGCAGGCGCGAAAACUUUACAAUGCUGGCAACAGCGAUAAGGGAACCUCGAGUGCCAGGUUACAAAUCUGGCUGUCGAGAUGCCUAAAAAGCAUUUCAUAGCAAGGGCCGGGCAAGACCGGUGCCAGCCGCCGCGGUAACACCGGCGGCUCGAAUGGUAACCGUUAUUAUUGGGUCUAAAGGGUCUGUAGCCGGCCGGAUAAGUCUCUUGAGAAAUCUGGCAGCUUAACUGUCAGGCUUUCAGGAGAUACUGUCUGGCUCGAGGCCGGGAGAGGUGAGAGGUACUUCAGGGGUAGGGGUGAAAUCUUGUAAUCCUUGAAGGACCACCAGUGGCGAAGGCGUCUCACCAGAACGGACCUGACGGCAAGGGACGAAAGCUAGGGGCACGAACCGGAUUAGAUACCCGGGUAGUCCUAGCCGUAAACGAUACUCGCUAGGUGUCGGCCACGGUGCGACCGUUGUCGGUGCCGUAGGGAAGCCGUGAAGCGAGCCACCU
rnacentral:rRNA from 1 species